rnacentral:rRNA from 1 species
AUUGAACGCUGGCGGCAUGCCUUACACAUGCAAGUCGAACGGCAGCGGGGGAGAAGCUUGCUUUUCCUGCCGGCGAGUGGCGAACGGGUGAGUAAUACAUCGGAACGUGCCCUGUAGUGGGGGAUAACUAGUCGAAAGAUUAGCUAAUACCGCAUACGACCUGAGGGUGAAAGUGGGGGACCGCAAGGCCUCAUGCUAUAGGAGCGGCCGAUGUCUGAUUAGCUAGUUGGUGGGGUAAAGGCCUACCAAGGCGACGAUCAGUAGCUGGUCUGGGAGGACGAUCAGCCACACUGGGACUGAGACACGGCCCAGACUCCUACGGGAGGCAGCAGUGGGGAAUUUUGGACAAUGGGCGAAAGCCUGAUUCAGCAAUGCCGCGUGUGUGAAGAAGGCCUUCGGGUUGUAAAGCACUUUUGUCCGGAAAGAAAUGGCUCUGGUUAAUACCUGGGGUCGAUGACGGUACCGGAAGAAUAAGGACCAGCUAACUACGUGCCAGCAGCCGCCGUAA